rnacentral:rRNA from 1 species
ACGGAAGGCAGCAGUGGGGAAUAUUGGACAAUGGGGGAAACCCUGAUCCAGCGACGCCGCGUGAGUGAAGAAGUAUCUCGGUAUGUAAACUUCUAUCAGCAGGGAAGAUAAUGACGGUACCUGACUAAGAAGCCCCGGCUAACUACGUGCCAGCAGCCGCGGUAAUACGUAGGGGGCAAGCGUUAUCCGGAUUUACUGGGUGUAAAGGGAGCGUAGACGGAGAAGCAAGUCUGAUGUGAAAGGCAUGGGCUCAACCUGUGGACUGCAUUGGAAACUGUUUUUCUUGAGUGCCGGAGGGGUAAGCGGAAUUCCUAGUGUAGCGGUGAAAUGCGUAGAUAUUAGGAGGAACACCAGUGGCGAAGGCGGCUUACUGGACGGUAACUGACGUUGAGGCUCGAAAGCGUGGGGAGCAAACAGGAUUAGAUACCCUGGUA